rnacentral:rRNA from 1 species
UCCUACGGGAGGCAGCAGUGAGAAAUAUUGCACAAUGGGCGAAAGCCUGAUGCAGCGACGCCGCGUGGGUGAAGAAGGUUUUCGGAUCGUAAAGCCCUUUCCUGUGUGACGAGAGUGGACGGUAGCACAGGAAUAAGUCUCGGCUAACUACGUGCCAGCAGCCGCGGUAAAACGUAGGAGGCAAGCGUUAUCCGGAGUUACUGGGCGUAAAGCGCGUGCAGGCGGAUGGGUAAGUUACUUAUGAAAGCUCCUGGCUAAACUGGGAGAGGUUGAGUGAUACUGCCGAUCUAGAGUGGAUGAGAGGUUAACAGAAUUCCUUGUGUAGUGGUGAAAUGCGUAGAUAUAAGGAAGAAUACCAGUGGCGAAGGCGGUUAACUGGCAUCCAACUGACGCUCAGACGCGAAAGCAUGGGUAGCGAGCGGGAUUAGAAACCCCGGUAGUCCAUGCCGUAAACGAUGCACACUAAACGUUCGUUGUCGUCAAGGCAAUGAGUGUUGAAGCAAACGCUAUAAGUGUGCCGCCUGGGGAGUACGGUCGCAAGGCUAAAACUCAAAUGAA